rnacentral:rRNA from 1 species
GCAUCGAUGAAGAACGCAGCGAAAUGCGAUAACUAAUGUGAAUUGCAGAAUUCAGUGAAUCAUCGAGUCUUUGAACGCACAUUGCGCCCCCUGGCAUUCCGGGGAGCAUGCCUGUUCGAGCGUCAUUACACCACUCAAGCCUGGCUUGGUAUUGAGCGCCGCGGCCUGCCCGCGCGCUCCAAUGUCUCCGGCUGAGCCGUCCGUCUCUAAGCGUUGUGAAUAGCGAUCGCUUGCGAGGCCCGGGCGGUUCGACGCCGUUAAACCCCCCAUUUUCUAUGGUUGACCUCGGAUCAGGUAGGGAUACCCGCUGAACUUAAGCAUAUCAAUAAGCGGAGGA